UUAGAUCCAAUUUGUAUGGAACCGGAUCGUUUGCCUAAGUUCGCCGCUAGGGGCGCUGUACCAACUGCAUACAAAAUUGGGUUA
rnacentral:pre_miRNA from 1 species